AUGACUCUGUAUGUAGUGAAGGAAGAAUGUGAUUUCAGAUAUCUUGGCACAUCUGGCGAGCUCCAGUUCGCCGUCCUCCUCGUGGCCUACGGCUUCAUCUGCCACGCCGAGGUCGCCGUCGUCCACGCCUCCCUCACGCGCCUCGCACUGGCCACGUCCCCCGCCACCGCCUUCGCCAACCUCUCACUCACGCUCACCGUCCGGAACAAAAACUGGGCCAUGAGCGUCAGGAACACCCAGGCAGAGCCGCACGAGGCUGACUACAGCUUCGACGACCAGCGCUUCAAGCGGGUCAGGCUCACCGACGAGGGGUCCACGCGCCCCGCCGGCAAGACCCAGGCGAACCACCUCGUCUCCGACGCCGACAGUGCCUACGUCGCGCUCGGCAACGCCGGCGUGGAGUUCAAGGAGGAGAACAAGACGGGGGUGUUCCAGGUGGAGGUGGCGCUGUCGGGCGAGAUAAGGUACGAGGUGCACACUUCACCAAAGUGUAAGUUCCUGGCCAUAUGCCCGCUCAAGCUGCAGCUUACGCCGCCCGGCACACCGGCCGUCCUGUUCCAGAAGGUCAAGUGCAAGCUCGCUCCGCCAGACAAGAACUGCUUGUGA
rnacentral:rRNA from 1 species